rnacentral:rRNA from 1 species
CCUACGGGAGACAGCAGUGGGGAAUCUUGCACAAUGGGGGAAACCCUGAUGCAGCGACGCCGCGUGAGUGAAGAAGUAUUUCGGUAUGUAAAGCUCUAUCAGCAGGGAAGAAGAAAGACGGUACCUGACUACGAAGCCCCGGCUAACUACGUGCCAGCAGCCGCGGUAAUACGUAGGGGGCAAGCGUUAUCCGGAUUUACUGGGUGUAAAGGGAGCGUAGACGGCUGUGCAAGUCUGAAGUGAAAGCCCAGGGCUCAACCCUGGGACUGCUUUGGAAACUGUGGAGCUAGAGUGCUGGAGAGGUAAGUGGAAGUCCUAGUGUAGCGGUGAAAUGCGUAGAUAUUAGGAGGAACACCAGUUGCGAAGGCGGCUCUCUGGACUGUAACUGACACUGAGGCACGAAAGCGUGGGGAGCAAACAGGAUUAGGUACCCUUGUAGUC